UAAUUACCCACACGUGCUUCCUCUACAUCCUUUCAAAAUAAAAGCACCAAUGCCAAUUAUUAGCUUUAACUGCACUGCUUUUGCCUUUGAAUGGGUAAUUAUGAUAUUAAUGGGUAAUUAAAGACUAAUUGACAGUUACGCUAUUACCCCCACACAUUUCCUCUAAAUCCUUUCAAAAUAAAAGCACCAAUUACAAUUUAUUACCUUUAAUGGCAAGAUUGAUUAAAAAAAUUUGUGGUUCUGAAUGCUUACCAAUCGUUAAUGGGACUACUUUAGAGUUCAGUAAAUAGCCACUCAAACUUAUUAGGGUGCUUUUAUUCUGAAAGGGCUAAAUCUAAAUCUUUUGCUUUAAUAGGGCUAUUCUUGCUAUUGAAUGAUAAAUUAUGACUAUCUAAUGACUAUUUUAUAGUUUAGUAAUCGCCCACACACAACCUCUAAAUCCUUUCAAAAUAAAAGCACCAAUGUAAUUUAAUACCUAAAUGGCAAGAUUUUUGUUUCUGACUGGUAAAUUUCUACUAGUUAUUAAAAUAUUACACAGUUAGGUAAUUAUUUACAAAUACUUUCUUCAAAUCAAAAAGAUAGUCAGCUUAUUUAUGAUUGUCAACAAUGCCCCUUGGUCAACUUUUUAAUCUUUGACAUCUUUUAACCGUGGUCAACUUUUGAAUCAUUGUCAUCUCUUUAAUAUUGUCAUAGUAUGACCUUGGUCAUCUUUUUAAUCAUCAUCUUUUUAAUCGCCAUCUUUUGUCAUCGUUUUAAUCUCAUCGUUUUCUCGUUUUCAUCGUUUUGCCGUAGUCAACUUUUGGACGUAGUCAACUUUUUGACGUCAGCAGCUUAAUCAGCGUUUGUCAUCGUUGCGGCAGCAGAUCAGCUCUCCCACGUAAUUUCUCGAGAAAUUACUUUUUCUAGUUGUCUUUAUUACAUUACAAUUGAAUGGCCAUAGACACAUUGUUAGCAGAGAAAAGAGUUAUGUUCGGAGAGGCAUGUUGUACUUACAUUCUGAAUAACACUGAUUCUAAUGGUACUGUGGCGAAGGCGCUCCACGGCCUUCAGAAUCUCAGCUAACUCUGGCAUAGGUUCUUUCC
rnacentral:lncRNA from 1 species